rnacentral:rRNA from 1 species
UACGUAGGGGGCAAGCGUUGUCCGGAAUCAUUGGGCGUAAAGCGCGUGUAGGCGGCUUGGUAAGUCUGCCCUGAAAGCCCGGGGCUCAACCCCGGGAGGCGGGUGGAUACUGUCAAGCUCGAGUCCGGAAGAGGAGUGUGGAAUUCCAGGUGUAGCGGUGAAAUGCGUAGAUAUCUGGAGGAACACCGGUGGCGAAGGCGGCGUCCUGGACCAACACUGACACUGAUGAGCGAAAGCCAGGGGAGCAAACGGG